GUGCUUCAGCAGCACAUAUCCUAAAAUUGGAAUGAUACAGAAAAGAUUCCAUAGCCCCU
rnacentral:snRNA from 1 species